CUAGCUGUCACUUGUUUGCUUGCUCCGUCUUUUAUAAUUAUCUCUCCACUUUUAGGCCAUAGGGCUCAAAUGCUACAUAAAUAUCUUUUUAGUACAAAGUAAUAAAAUAUGUAAACUUUUGGGUAGUAAUUUCCAUUUAAAAAUGGACUAGAGAAUGAAUUUCCAGAUGUAGAAUUUCGGAAAUUGAGUUUGUAAAAUCAGAGACAGUUUUUGAUAUCAAGGAUUUCCUGAAGCAGUUCAAAUCUCCUGAGAUGAAUGCCAUACUGUUUACACAAAGCCUUGCUUACCAUUCAACAGCUACAAGCUGGGACAUUACAUGUUUACUAAACAAGCUGAAGAGGAGCAAACCCUGUCUUGUAAUGUAACAGCUACCGGGAAGCUGGAGAGAAGCCAGGGAGGGGAGCACUGUGACGACCUAGCCCUCUCCAGGAAGAUGAUCUUGACUUUCUCAUGGUGCUGAGCACCCCUGCCUGUACAAUGUCAUCCCUGCUUCUCAGACCCAAAUGUGGACGUGGAAAAACUAAGGUAUUUUAAUGAGCAGCCUUACAUUUU
rnacentral:lncRNA from 1 species